rnacentral:rRNA from 1 species
UACAGAGGAGCCAAGCGUUGUCCGGAUUGACUGGGCGUAAAGCGCACGCAGGCGGCACCGCGCGUGGGGUGUGAAAUCUGGCCGCUUAACGGCCAGGCGCCAUCCCAUACGGCGGAGCUGGAGUGAUGCAGAGGUCGGUGGAAUUGCCGGUGUAGUGGUGAAAUGCGUAGAUAUUCGCAAGAACACCAGUGGCGAAGGCGGCUCACUGGCCCGAUACUGACGCUGAUGUGCGAAAGCGUGGGGGAGCAAACAGG